CAAACAAAUUAUUUAUUUCAGACCAUUUCGUGUUUAAUUUCGUAGAGAUCAGUGAAAAUGUCCGCCUGUAGCACUGAGAACAAGGCUCCUGAGAGCAUCCGUAGCAUUUGCUGCAUCGGUGCUGGGUAUGUGGGGGGACCCACUUGUGCCAUCAUCGCCCACAAAUGUCCCGAGAUCACCGUCACUGUCGUCGACAAAAACCCCAUACGCAUUGCUCAGUGGAAUUCCGACAAGUUGCCAAUAUAUGAGCCAGGUCUGCAAGAAAUCGUGAUGAAGUGCAGAGGGAAGAACUUGUUCUACUCCACCAAUGUCGAGGAAGGUGUCGUCAACGCUGACCUUAUCUUCAUCUCUGUGAACACGCCAACUAAAACCUACGGAGCUGGGAAAGGUCGUGCUGCUGACCUCACGCACGUAGAGUCGUGUGCUCGCAUCAUCGCGGGCUGCGCGUCGGGCUACAAAGUCGUGGUCGAGAAGAGUACCGUGCCGGUGAGAGCCGCCGCCAGCAUCAGUGAGAUAUUCGGUGCCAACUCGCCUGCCGCCUCUAACUUCCAGGUGCUCUCGAACCCCGAGUUCCUGGCUGAGGGCACCGCGGUGGCUGACCUGCUCAACCCUGACCGCGUGCUUAUCGGAGGCAGCCAGACGCCCGCAGGCCUGGAGGCGAUCGCGCUGCUCACGGCCGUGUACAGCCACUGGGUGGCGCCUGAGCGCAUCGUCACCAUGAACACCUGGAGCAGCGAGCUCUCCAAACUGGUGAGCAACGCGUUCCUAGCACAGCGCGUUAGCAGCAUCAACGCAGUGAGCGCCAUCUGUGAGGCUACGGGCGCUGAUAUCUCCGAGGUCGCCGAGGCCGUCGGCCGCGACUCCAGGAUCGGCAGCAAGUUCUUGCAGGCGUCCGUUGGUUUUGGUGGGAGCUGCUUCCAGAAAGACAUCCUGAACCUGGUGUACGUGUCGGAGUGCCUGAACCUGCCUGAAGUGGCCCAGUACUGGAUGCAGGUCAUCGUUAUGAACGACUUCCAGAAAUCAAGGUUUGCCAAGAAGAUCGUAUCGCGCCUCUUCAACACGAUCUCCAACAAAGCCAUCGCCGUGUUCGGCUUUGCGUUCAAGAAGAACACGGGCGACACGAGAGAGAGUCCUGCCAUCUCCGUGUGCGCUCAUCUGCUCGAGGAGGGCGCCAGGCUCAAUAUCUACGAUCCGAAGGUCGAGACAGAACAAAUCCUUAGUGACUUAUGUCACCCCGGAGUGUGCGCGCUGCCUCGUGAGCGCAUCGAGAACUUGGUGACGACGCACGCAGAUCCUCACAGCGCCGCCGCCAACACGCACGCCAUCGUCGUCCUCACUGAGUGGGACGAGUUCAAGACGCUUGACUACGAGAAGAUGAUCAAGUCAAUGCUGAGACCGGCGUGGGUGUUUGACGGCCGUAAGAUCCUGGACCACGAGCGCCUCAUGGACUUGGGCUUCUACACGGAGUGCAUCGGACACCGGUACCAGCGGCCGCAGUUCUACGACCACUGCAAUGGAAUGACUGUUGACUUGGAAUGAGCCCUGGUAACGUCACCCUUGAAAACCUGCUUCGGUGUCAACUUUUUUCAGCACGGUCACGCUCCUGAAUUGCUUUUCUCUGAAAAGUCGAAGGCAUUCAGAGCUUCUCGUCAGGACAACUGACCUCGAUCAAGAUCCUUC
rnacentral:misc_RNA from 1 species